rnacentral:rRNA from 1 species
GAUGAACGCUGGCGGCGUGCCUAAUACAUGCAAGUCGAGCGAACAGACGAGGAGCUUGCUCCUCUGACGUUAGCGGCGGACGGGUGAGUAACACGUGGAUAACCUACCUAUAAGACUGGGAUAACUUCGGGAAACCGGAGCUAAUACCGGAUAAUAUAUUGAACCGCAUGGUUCAAUAGUGAAAGACGGUUUUGCUGUCACUUAUAGAUGGAUCCGCGCCGCAUUAGCUAGUUGGUAAGGUAACGGCUUACCAAGGCAACGAUGCGUAGCCGGCCUGGGAGGGUGAUCGGCCACACUGGAACUGAGACACGGUCCAGACUCUUACGGGAGGCAGCAGUAGGGAAUCUUCCGCAAUGGGCGAUAGCCUGACGGAGCAACGCCGCGUGAGUGAUGAAGGUCUUCGGAUCGUAAAACUCUGUUAUUAGGGAAGAACAAAUGUGUAAGUAACUAUGCACGUCUUGACGGUACCUAAUCAGAAAGCCACGGCUAACUACGU